rnacentral:rRNA from 1 species
GAUGAACGCUGGCGGCGUGCCUAAUACAUGCAAGUCGAGCGAACGGACGAGAAGCUUGCUUCUCUGAUGUUAGCGGCGGACGGGUGAGUAACACGUGGAUAACCUACCUAUAAGACUGGGAUAACUUCGGGAAACCGUAGCUAAUACCGGAUAAUAUUUUGAACCGCAUGAUUCAAAAGUGAAAGACGGUCUUGCUGUCACUUAUAGAUGGAUCCGCGCUGCAUUAGAUAGUUGGUAAGGUAACGGCUUACCAAGGCAACGAUGCAUAGCCGACCUGAGAGGGGGAUAGGCGACACUGGAGCGGAGACACGGUCAAGACUACUGCGGGAGGCAGCAGAAGGGAAUCGUCCGCAGUGGGCGGAAGCCUGACGGAGCGACGGCGCGUGAGUGAUGAAGGUCUUCGGAUCGUAAAACUCUGUUAUUAGGGAAGAACAUAUGUGUAAGGAACUGUGCACAUCGUGACGGUACCUAAUCAGAAAGCAACGGCUAACUACGUG